CUAGCGACUUCAGAGUUUGAUCCUGGCUCAGGAUGAACGCUGGCGGCGUGCCUAACACAUGUAAGUCGAACGGGGGUUAUGCGACGGAACUCUUCGGAGGGAAGAUGCAUAAACCUAGUGGCGGACGGGUGAGUAACGCGUGGGUAACCUGCCCUAUACAGGGGGACAACAGUUGGAAACGACUGCUAAUACCGCAUAAGCCUACAGAUUCGCAUGAAUCAGUAGGAAAAACUCCGGUGGUAUAGGAUGGGCCCGCGUCUGAUUAGCUAGUUGGUGGUGUAAUGGACCACCAAGGCAACGAUCAGUAGCCGGCUUGAGAGAGUGAACGGCCACAUUGGGACUGAGACACGGCCCAA
rnacentral:rRNA from 1 species